rnacentral:rRNA from 1 species
AUUCAUCGUCAUUCGGCGGCGUACGGGCGGAUGCCUCGAUGGGUGUGGUCGGUCUAUCGGCCGUUCUACGCUCACGGGCGACGUUCGUUUGCGUCCGUCGACGGCGUGCACUUCUCUCUUAGUAAUGCAUCGCGACCCGUUCGGGGUCGGUCUAAGCGCCGUCCGGGAGUCCGGCGGUGGGCGUCUCGGCGUCCGCCGUCGAACCGUGACCGGUUGCCGGCCGGCCGUUGCGGACGGUAACAAUGAUGGAAAUCGAAUACGCUUCACAAAGCGAAACGCGCACGCGUACCACGCGUCCGGCCCGACGCAAGCAGACGUCCGGUGUCGAUUUCCUGCCUAYGUGCGGACGUCGACUCGACGUCGCUGUCGUCUAGCUGCCGUGCAGUCUCGGACUGUGCGCGUCUCUGUCUGCGAUGAUUCUGUUUCGGGCACUCGCAGGACCCGUCUUGAAACACGGACCAAGGAGUCUAGCAUGUGUGCGAGUCAUUGAGUUCGAAUUCAAUUGAAAAAACUGAAAGGCGCAACGAAAGUGAAGGCGCGCGCUCGCCGCGCGCUCAGGGAGGAUGGAGCCUCGGUCUCGAUCGAACUCCCGCACUCCCGAGGCGUCUCGUUUCCAAUCCGUGAAUGCAGGCGCGCUCUGAGCACAGAUGCUGGGACCCGAAAG